rfam:Oryza rufipogon genomic scaffold, chr06
AAUAAGUGCAGUUUUGCACUAUUUAUGUUUAACGUUUGACCGUUCGUUUUAUUUGAAAUUUUUUUAUGAUUAGUAUUUUUAUUGUUAUUAGAUGAUAAAACAUGAAUAAUACUUUAUACGUGACUAAAUAUUUUUAAAUUUUUCAUAAAUUUUUUAAAUAAGACGAAUGGUCGAACGUUGGGUACGGAUAUCCACGGCUGUACUUGUU